UAGGGAAUCUUGCGCAAUGGGUGAAAGCCUGACGCAGCCAUGCCGCGUGAAUGAUGAAGGUCUUAGGAUUGUAAAAUUCUUUCACCGGGGAGGAUAAUGACGGUACCCGGAGAAGAAGCCCCGGCUAACUUCGUGCCAGCAGCCGCGGUAAUACGAAGGGGGCUAGCGUUGCUCGGAAUUACUGGGCGUAAAGGGCGCGUAGGCGGAUAUUUAAGUUGGGGGUGAAAGCCCGGGGCUCAACCUCGGAAUAGCCUUCAAUACUGGAUAUCUUGAGUUCGGGAGAGGUGAGUGGAAUGCCGAGUGUAGAGGUGAAAUUCGUAGAUAUUCGGCGGAACACCAGUGGCGAAGGCGACUCACUGGCCCGAUACUGACGCUGAGGCGCGAAAGCGUGGGGAGCAAACAGGAUUAGAUACCCUGGUAGUCCACGCCGUAAACGAUGAGUGCUAGUUGUCGGCAUGCAUGCAUGUCGGUGACGCAGCUAACGCAUUAAGCACUCCGCCUGGGGAGUACGGUCGCAAGAUUAAAAACUCAAAGGAAUUGAC
rnacentral:rRNA from 1 species